rnacentral:rRNA from 1 species
AGUCGUGCGAGAAGUAUCUUCGGAUAUGAUUAGAGCGGCGGACGGGUGAGUAACGCGUAGGAAUCUACCUAGUAGAAGGGGAUAGCCCGAGGAAACUCGGAUUAAUACCGUAUACCUCCUUCGGGAGAAAGAAGGCCUCUCUUUGAAGCUUUCGCUACUAGAUGAGCCUGCGUAAGAUUAGCUUGUUGGUGAGGUAAAGGCUCACCAAGGCGACGAUCUUUAGCGGGUCUGAGAGGACGAUCCGCCACAUUGGGACUGAGACACGGCCCAGACUCCUACGGGAGGCAGCAGUGGGGAAUAUUGGACAAUGGGCGCAAGCCUGAUCCAGCCAUACCGCGUGUGUGAAGAAGGCCUUAGGGUUGUAAAGCACUUUAAGUUGGGAAGAAAGGUUAUUGGCUAAUACCCAAUAACUGUGACAUUACCAUCAGAAUAAGGACCGGCUAAUUCCGUGCCAGCAGCCGCGGUAAUACGGAAGGUCCAAGCGUUAAUCGGAAUUACUGGGCGUAAAGCGCGCGUAGGUGGUUUAUUAAGUUGGAUGUGAAAUCCCCGGGCUCAACCUGGGAACUGCAUUCAAAACUGGUUCACUAGAGUACGAUAGAGGGAGGUAGAAUUCACAGUGUAGCGGUGGAAUGCGUAGAUAUUGUGAAGAAUACCAAUGGCGAAGGCAGCCUCCUGGAUCUGUACUGACACUGAGGUGCGAAAGCGUGGGUAGCGAACAGGAUUAGAUACCCUGGUAGUCCACGCCGUAAACGAUGUCAACUAGCUGUUGGAAAGCACUGCUUUUCAGUGGCGCAGCUAACGUAGUAAGUUGACCGCCUGGGGAGUACGGC